UCGCUGUGAAGAUGCAGUGUAUCCGCGGCUAGACGGAAAGACCCCGUGAACCUUUACUGUAGCUUUGCACUGGACUUUGAGCCUGCUUGUGUAGGAUAGGUGGGAGGCUUUGAAGCGUGGACGCCAGUUCGCGUGGAGCCAUCCUUGAAAUACCACCCUGGCAUGCUUGAGGUUCUAACUCUGGUCCGUAAUCCGGAUCGAGGACAGUGUAUGGUGGGCAGUUUGACUGGGGCGGUCUCCUCCUAAAGAGUAACGGAGGAGUACGAAGGUGCGCUCAGACCGGUCGGAAAUCGGUCGUAGAGUAUAAAGGCAAAAGCGCGCUUGACUGCGAGACAGACACGUCGAGCAGGUACGAAAGUAGGUCUUAGUGAUCCGGUGGUUCUGUAUGGAAGGGCCAUCGCUCAACGGAUAAAAGGUACUCCGGGGAUAACAGGCUGAUACCGCCCAAGAGUUCAUAUCGACGGCGGUGUUUGGCACCUCGAUGUCGGCUCAUCACAUCCUGGGGCUGAAGCCGGUCCCAAGGGUAUGGCUGUUCGCCAUUUAAAGUGGUACGCGAGCUGGGUUUAGAACGUCGUGAGACAGUUCGGUCCCUAUCUGCCGUGGACGUUUGAGAUUUGAGAGGGGCUGCUCCUAGUACGAGAGGACCGGAGUGGACGAACCUCUGGUGUUCCGGUUGUCACGCCAGUGGCAUUGCCGGGUAGCUAUGUUCGGAAAAGAUAACCGCUGAAAGCAUCUAAGCGGGAAACUUGCCUCAAGAUGAGAUCUCACUGGGAACUUGAUUCCCCUGAAGGGCCGUCGAAGACUACGACGUUGAUAGGCUGGGUGUGUAAGCGUUGUGAGGCGUUGAGCUAACCAGUACUAAUUGCCCGUGAGGCUUGACCAU
rnacentral:rRNA from 1 species